UCAAGGACAGCGACAAGAUUCCGU
rnacentral:siRNA from 1 species